UGGGAGGGCAGAUACCUGGACAGUGCUGAGCAGUGCUCUGUCCACCACUAGCUCUCCCCACAGCAUACCGUACAUGCUCUCUGAUGACUAGGGUGAAUAGAGAGAAAUCGCCAUGGACAGAUACGGGGCAGACACCA